rnacentral:rRNA from 1 species
ACGGAGGGUGCAAGCGUUGUUCGGAAUCACUGGGCGUAAAGGGCGCGCAGGCGGUUUGGUAAGUCAGAUGUGAAAGCCCACGGCUUAACCGUGGAAGUGCAUUUGAAACUGCCAGACUUGAGUACCAGAGGGGAAAGUGGAAUUCCCGGUGUAGCGGUGAAAUGCGUAGAUAUCGGGAGGAAGGCCGGUGGGGGAGGCGACUUUAUGGCUGUAUACUGACGCGGAGGCGCGAAAUCGUUGGGUGAAAGCAG